rnacentral:rRNA from 1 species
UACAGAGGUCCCGAGCGUUGUUCGGAUUCAUUGGGCGUAAAGGGUGCGUAGGCGGCGGGGUAAGUUUGAUGUGAAAUCCCGGGGCUCAACCCUGGAAUUGCAUUGAAUACUACCUUGCUAGAGUACCGGAGAGGAAACUGGAAUUUACGGUGUAGCAGUGAAAUGCGUAGAGAUCGUAAGGAAGACCAGUGGCGAAGGCGGCUUUCUGGGCCUUACCUGACGCUGAGACGCGAAAGCGUGGGGAGCGAACCGG